GAGCUUCUAUGGCAACUCUUCUUUACAUGCACGAUCUGCAGAAUUCCUUUUUUAUUUGGCACACUUUGCACAUUUCCAUAAUGGAGGAACAAUAGAACCAUUGUUGUCAAUCUGUUGUAAAUUCAUUACAUAUGCACUCAUUUGCUUUUCAUCCGCUGUCCAAUCAACUAGUUGUUCCUUCCUUUCUUCAUCUUUAGCCAAACUACUCAAUUGACAAAGAACUGAAGUCAAUGGCAUUCUUCAACCCUCGUUGUGCGUCCUUGCUCCACCCAUUAAACUUCAUUUUCAUUCUCUGUCUUCUCCAUUGUCCAUGCUUCUUUUCUUUUAAAAGUAUAACAACAGAAAAUGCAAACUCAAAAUCAUAGCCUUUCCACAAAAAUUCAUAACAGUCACCAUAAUUUGUUCUUUCU
rnacentral:misc_RNA from 1 species